UCCACCAAUAGUCACCUUGAAACGAGUCUUAUGGAGCUAAAGUCAAGGUGCUGGAAGAGUUGGUUCCUUCUUGAGGUUCCUAGGGAGUCUUGAUUCCUUGGCUCCCCCAGCUUCUAGAGGUUGUUCACAUUCCUUGGCUUGUGGCUGUACCACUCCCCUGUUUGCUGCUGUUGUCGAGCUGCCUUCUCUCUCUGAUUUCUGCUUCCUUCUUAUAAAGACUCCUGUGAUUAUAUCAGGCCCAACUGGAUAAUCCAGGAAAAUCUUCACUCUCAGGAUCCUUAGCUUCUUCACAUCUGCACAUAAGAGAUAGGGCUUCAACAUGUUGUCUGGGCUGUUGAACUCCUAAACUCAAGUGAUCUUCCUGCCUCAACCUCCCAAAGUGCUGGGAUUAUAGUCAUGAUCUGGCUAGCACUUUUUAUAAUAGCCAAAAAUGUGGAAGCAGCCCAACUAUGCAUUGACUGAGUCACCAAGAUGUCUAUCUGCAACCCUAGAGCUCUUCAGACAGCCCUCGGGAAACCCCGUUUUAAAACCUUGCCAAGCUGACUGAGUAAUGGACCCCAGCUUCCUGAAGAAGAGAAUUAGACACAGAUACAUUUGGAGGUAAGACACGUGAGGACACAGGGAGAAGACAGCCAUCCACAGCUGAGAGAGAGGCCUACAAGAACCAACUCUGCCCACCCCUUGAUCUUGGAUGUCUAGCCUUCAC